AAAUCCUCUCUUUCUCUUUCUCUCAUUUCCCGUCAUAGGUUCUAUGCAGGCAGAUGAGUGUCACAGCUGUAACUGAGGCACAGAGCAGUACACACAGUGGAGCCGAUUUCCGCGAUGGCGAGAGGGGGCACCGGAGGUGACAACAAUAACAAGACUGUCCUUCGGACAAGUUUUAGAUUCUCAGGAUGAUGGAGUGAGUGAUGGAAUAGGUUGCCAACUGUAGUUACUCCACUCAGCACAGAAUGGCUGCGGGGAAAUAUAAUCAGACAUGCCCAAAGAAGUCUGCUUAGGGUGAAACAAAUACCUUUGAGGUUUAAAUCAGGAAGGAGAGACUGUUUCUACAGGUGUCAUACAAAAAUCAAUACUGAGCCAAGGAUUAUUGGAUCCCAUAGAACCACGGAGACUUGGUAGUGAAAUUCUUCCAAAGGCAGAUGGUGUUCCUAGGUUUGGAAAUAUAAAUCCCAUGGGAAGUCAGCUGAAGACCAUUUUAUGCAUCACUCAUCCUGUUAGAGCCCUGUGCUGUUCUGUCUCUCUAUAAGACUGGCUGAAACCACCACGGUUGUUUACAAUUUAUGCUCUAACUUUGGAUCACCUAGUUAAUACUCUAACUCCGAUUAUUACCAAAGACAAUGUUCUAUAAAAGAUAUUGUCUAUUAGAAGGAUGCUUCUGCAUUAUUAAUAAAAUCACAGGGAAAAUGCAACAUUUUGGAUGUCACAUCUGAUAAGUUGGCAGUUAAAGAACAGAAACAGCAAUAAGACUGCGUGGCUACAUUUUCCCAGUGCCACCAACUGGGAUUUAAGCUGACUAACAUUUUGAAAGCCCAGCCCAUUUCAUUCACAGCAGGAUGGCAGUGGGUGACUGAUCGUACCCGCCAGCUGGCUAAUGUCAUAAUUAACAAAGUUGCUACUACAUCUGCAAAGUUUAAUCGAAAAAUUUGCCAGUGAUAUGAUGGCCUUGUCACAGAGAUCACAAGGGACACGGAGUUGACUUUUGCUCAAGGUGGAACGACAGAGCUGUGUAGGCAAGAUGAGAAAUUGCGAACUUGUUCGGCCAAAGGAGGCUAAUAAUGAAGGGGCCGGGAAGGAGGCCAGUGCUACCAGGGUUAUCUCACAACCUCAGAUGCUGGAUAAGUCGACGGAGGCAGAAUCGCUUUGGGAUGACAUUCAGAAAGCCUGGAGUGAUUACUUGCAAGAGAAAAGCCUACCUAUUCUUUCCAAGGUGCAGGAAUAUUCCCCUGACCUGCUCAUCCAGUGGUCCAGUAAUGAAUUACUGGAGACCUGCCUUAGACAAAGAAUGCACUCGGAGCCCCAACACACCUAAAGCCAUGCUUUGAAGGAUCUGCCAAGCUCACUUUUAAUCAUGAGAAAGAAAUUACCCACACGGAGUCAGCAGAAAAUGAGAAAGUAGAGCUCGUGCUGUGAAUAAUUCCAGCAAGUGCCAAGGGGCUAGUUGAGGAAUGGCUUCAUGAGGUGAAUAUCUUUAGCUUGUACUUAGGGUUUGGUUAGCGUAUAAUCAUUUUCUCUUUUAGGAGCAAUGACUAUCAUACAUGUAUUUCCUAACUAAAGAGUGCUCAGAGCAUUUGUCAGGUUGUUGACAGAUUUAAUAUCAGUCUUGCCCAUGUUGUUAUUUACUAUGACUAAUUUUACGUUUGUAAAUAUGCAAAAA
rnacentral:lncRNA from 1 species